UAAGCUCCCUUCGCGGAGUGCAUAAAGUGGCGCACGGGUGAGUAACACGUAAGUAUCUACUCUGAGUGGGGAAUAACGUCCGGAAACGGACGCUAAUACCGCAUAAUGCAGCGGCACCGCAAGGUGACAGUUGUUAAAGAUUAUCGCUUGGAGAGGAGCUUGCGGCAGAUUAGCUAGUUGGUAAGGUAAUGGCUUACCAAGGCAACGAUCUGUAGCCGGUCUAAGAGGACGGUCGGUCACACUGACACUGAAUAACGGGUCAGACUCCUACGGGAGGCAGCAGUCGGGAAUUUUGGGCAAUGGGCGAAAGCCUGACCCAGCAACGCCGCGUGAAGGAUGAAGUAUUUCGGUAUGUAAACUUCGAAAGAAUAGGAAGAAUUAAUGACGGUACUAUUUAUA
rnacentral:rRNA from 1 species